rfam:Actinomyces graevenitzii C83 genomic scaffold supercont1.1, whole genome shotgun sequence.
CGAGCCAGCCGGGCGGCCGCGGUACCACGUUUGUGGAUCGAGGAAAGUCCGGGCUCCUUAGGGCGCGGUGGUGGCUAACGGCCACCCGGGGUGACCUGCGGGAAAGUGCCACAGAAAGUAAACCGCCUUUGGUUUAGGCCGUUGGUAAGGGUGAAAGGGUGAGGUAAGAGCUCACCGCAGCCCAGGUGACUGGGUUGGCAUGGUAAACCCCACUGGGAGCAAGAUCGCACAGCGGACGUUUGAGGGCUGCCCGCCCAAGUUCGCGGGUAGAUCGCGUGAGGCCAGUGGUAACGCUGGUCCAAGAUGGAUGGUCGCCGCCGCCUGGCCGGUAACGGUGGGCGGUAACAGAACCCGGCUUAUGGCUGGCUCGUUUC